rnacentral:rRNA from 1 species
UACGUAGGGCGCAAGCGUUGUCCGGAAUUAUUGGGCGUAAAGAGCUCGUAGGCGGCCAGUUGCGUCUGCUGUGAAAUCCCGGGGCUCAACCCCGGGCGUGCAGUGGAUACGGGCUGGCUAGAGGCAGGCAGGGGAGAACGGAAUUCCCGGUGUAGCGGUGAAAUGCGCAGAUAUCAGGAGGAACACCGGUGGCGAAGGCGGGUCUCUGGGCCGUAACUGACGCUGAGGAGCGAAAGCGUGGGGAGCGAACAGG